rnacentral:rRNA from 1 species
AUUGAACGCUGGCGGCAGGCCUAACACAUGCAAGUCGAACGGUAACAGGAAGCAGCUUGCUGCUUUGCUGACGAGUGGCGGACGGGUGAGUAAUGUCUGGGAAACUGCCUGAUGGAGGGGGAUAACUACUGGAAACGGUAGCUAAUACCGCAUAACGUCGCAAGACCAAAGAGGGGGGCCUUCGGGCCUCUUGCCAUCGGAUGUGCCCAGAUGGGAUUAGCUAGUAGGUGGGGUAACGGCUCACCUAGGCGACGAUCCCUAGCUGGUCUGAGAGGAUGACCAGCCACACUGGAACUGAGACACGGUCCAGACUCCUACGGGAGGCAGCAGUGGGGAAUAUUGCACAAUGGGCGCAAGCCUGAUGCAGCCAUGCCGCGUGUAUGAAGAAGGCCUUCGGGUUGUAAAGUACUUUCAGCGGGGAGGAAGGGAGUAAAGUUAAUACCUUUGCUCAUUGACGUUACCCGCAGAAGAAGCACCGGCUAACUCCGUG